rnacentral:rRNA from 1 species
UCGCUGCGUAGUGAAUCAUCGAAUCUUUGAACGCAAUUUGCACCUCGUCGCCUCGGUGACAAGGUAUACUUGUUUGAGUAUCACAAACAAUCUCACCCUCCCUUUUGGGUAUGUGGACUUGAGAGUUCUACCUCUUCCGCGGUAGUCUCUUUAAAAUCAGGCUUUGAAGUCUCAGCAUGAGAUGAUUAUUGGGAUAACAUCCUAACAAUAGUCAUUGCUUUGACUUGAACCUUUUCAGUGGGAGCAAAGCCACCCGUUUGCUACAUCGCAAGCUGUAGUGACCAACACUUUUAAAAUGAUCUCAAAUCAAGUAAGGAUACCCGCUGAACUUAAGCAUAUCAAUAAGCGGAGG